UACGGAGGAUGCAAGCGUUAUCCGGAAUGAUUGGGCGUAAAGCGUCCGCAGGUGGCUAUGUAAGUCUGCUGUUAAAGAGUGAGGCUCAACCUCAUAAGAGCAGUGGAAACUACAUAGCUAGAGUGCGUUCGGGGCAGAGGGAAUUCCUGGUGUAGCGGUGAAAUGCGUAGAUAUCAGGAAGAACACCGGUGGCGAAAGCGCUCUGCUAGGCCGCAACUGACACUGAGACGCGAAAGCUAGGGGAGCGAACAGG
rnacentral:rRNA from 1 species